GCGCUUCUAGGAUCUCCUAGUAGCAUGCUUGUUGGAGCGCCGAACUUUCUCUCUAAUCUACUUCUUGUGGAUUACGAGGUGUUGCUCCUUAUUGGAGUCAAAGAAAUGGAACAGCACACGUUAAUAACUCUGUGCAGUAAUAUUUUUUAUGGCCCCCAAUCAAGCAAGAUUACCCGCCGAACUUAAGCAUAUCAAUAAGCGGAGGAAAAGAAACCAACAGGGAUUGCCCUAGUAACGGCGAGUGAACAGGCAAGAGCUCAGAUUUGAAAGCCUUUUUGGCAUUGUAUUCUGAAGUCAGUUUCCUGAGUAUCGGUGUUUAAGUCUUCUGGAAAGGAGCGCCAUGGAGGGUGAUAGCCCCGUACGACACCUCACUCAUUGUAGGAUUCUGACGUGGAGUCGAGUUGUUUGGGAAUGCAGCUCAAAAGGGUGGUAUGCUCCAUCUAAAGCUAAAUAUCUGUGAGAGACCGAUAGCGAACAAGUACUGUGAAGGAAAGAUGAAAAGAACUUUGAAAAGAGAGUGAAAAAGUACGUGAAAUUGUUGAAAUGGAAGGAUAUGCCGCUAACAAUGUAGAGCCGUGUUUGGGGGGAAGACAAAAGCUGAAGAAUGUAUCUCUUUUAGGGAAUUAUAACUUCAGUCAAUAUUCCCAUCCGGGCGCGAGGACCUCAGGCUCUACUAAAUGGUGGUCUAUCACCCGUCUUGAAACACGGACCAAGGAGUCUAUUGCCUGCGCGAGUAUUUGGGUGGCAAAC
rnacentral:rRNA from 1 species